GGGUGCGAUCAUACCUGCGUUAAUGCAUCGGAUCCCAUCAAAAAUUUGCAGUUAAGCACACUUGGGAUAGAAUAGUACUGGGAUGGGUGACCUCCUGGGAAGUCCUAGUGUUGCAUCCU
rfam:Picea glauca, whole genome shotgun sequence.